rnacentral:rRNA from 1 species
AUUGAACGCUGGCGGCAGGCUUAACACAUGCAAGUCGAGCGGAGAGAAGUAGCUUGCUACUGAUCUUAGCGGCGGACGGGUGAGUAAUGCUUAGGAAUCUGCCUGUUAGUAGGGGACAACAUUCCGAAAGGGAUGCUAAUACCGCAUACGCCCUACGGGGGAAAGCAGGGGAUCUUCGGACCUUGCGCUAAUAGAUGAGCCUAAGUCGGAUUAGCUAGUUGGUGGGGUAAAGGCCUACCAAGGCGACGAUCUGUAGCGGGUCUGAGAGGAUGGUCCGCCACACUGGGACUGAGACACGGCCCAGACUCCUACGGGAGGCGGCAGUGGGGAAUAUUGGACAAUGGGGGGAACCCUGAUCCAGCCAUGCCGCGUGUGUGAAGAAGGCCUUAUGGUUGUAAAGCACUUUAAGCGAGGAGGAGGCUCUUUUGGUUAAUACCCAAGAUGAGUGGACGUUACUCGCAGAAUAAGCACCGGCUAACUCUGUGCCAGCAGCCGCCGCAGUAA